rnacentral:antisense_RNA from 1 species
CCACUGCUGCCGCCGCUGCUGCUGCCUGCACUUGUUGCUGAAGAUCAGGCGGGUUGUGUUUGCGCAUAUGUUUCAUAAGGGCCCUCUGCUAAGAUGAGCCAAGGACUUGAGGGUGCAGUGACACCUGCUCCUCAUCAGCGACUUCAGAACCAUCUCUAUGACCAGGUGCUUUUCGGGACCUCUGGUAUAAAAUCUCAAAAACAUCACAGGACGUGACGUGUCUCUUAUUUGUGAGGAAAGCCUGACUCCUCCUCUUCUCAAAGCAAGAUGUCUGAUCACUUUAAGGUGAGAUCAUCACAUCCAUAAGAAGCCGGGUGAGACGGUCUAUGGCCUGUAAGUCUGGACUCCAGUUCAACUUGAGAUAGCACCGAAGGAGAUCAUCACUUCUUCUAGUUGGCAGGUUCCCUUCUUCCUAGUCACUCCAGAUUCACGGGAUAAACACUGGGCAUCUUUAUGAAGCAUGAGCGUUUUCAUCUUCUGUUUGCUGAUCCUCUCUGAACAUUUAGUACAUGUUUUCUUUUGUUCUCUACUCUUGGCAUCCCUCAGAGCCUUGCUUGUUGCCGUGGGUGUCACCACGCUGGUGCCCAGCUAAUGUCUGAUUUUAUUUCCUGUUCGUAAUUGGUGCCCUAAGGGCUAGAGGUAUGGUCUUCUCCACUCAAAUGCCUCUGUUUUGGCAUCAGGGGGCAAAUCUUCCAAGAUGGGUACAUGAGUAUUUUCAGGGAGGAAAAUUAGAG